rnacentral:misc_RNA from 1 species
AAGUCGUAACAAGGUUUCCGUAGGUGAACCUGCGGAAGGAUCAUUAACACGAAUUUUAUCCAAUAUCAAAACUAAACGCGAACUUUUCCCCUCCCUAAAUCAAAACUUGGUUUAGGCUAACCUUUUAUUUAAUUUUUAACCCCUUUUAAUUUGAUAAAGUCUGAGGCUAACGCCAACGACUAACUAACUAAAAAUUUUACUUAAGAUGCCAACUUUAAGUUUGCUUCUUAAUUAAUAUUUUUUCUUUACGAAAUAAAUAUUAGUAUAGAACAACUCUUAGCAAUGGAUAUCUUGGUUCUC